UGGCACUUUCAGUGUCCGAGUUGUAAUUUGAAGAAGGUAUCUUUGGGUCUGGCUCUUGUCUAUGUUUCUUGGAACAGAACGUCACAGAGGGUGAGAAUCCCGUGCGAUGAGAUGUCCCAGACCUAUCUAAAGUUCCUUCGAAGAGUCGAGUUGUUUGGGAAUGCAGCUCUAAGUGGGUGGUAAAUUCCAUCUAAAGCUAAAUAUUGGCGAGAGACCGAUAGCGAACAAGUACAGUGAUGGAAAGAUGAAAAGAACUUUGAAAAGAGAGUGAAAAAGUACGUGAAAUUGUUGAAAGGGAAGGGCUUGAGAUCAGACUUGGUAUUUUGUAUGUUACUCUCUCGGGGGUGGCCUCUACAGUUUACCGGGCCAGCAUCAGUUUGAGCGGUAGGAUAAGUGCAAAGAAAUGUGGCACUGCUUCGGUAGUGUGUUAUAGUCUUUGUCGAUACUGCCAGCUUAGACUGAGGACUGCGGCUUCGGCCUAGGAUGUUGGCAUAAUGAUCUUAAGUCGCCCGUCUUGAA
rnacentral:rRNA from 1 species